rnacentral:rRNA from 1 species
GAUGAACGCUAGCUGGAGGCUUAAUACAUGCAAGUCGAGCGGGAUUGGGUAGCAAUACCCAUGAGAGCGGCGCACGGGUGAGUAACGCGUACACGACCUACCUCUAACAGGGGGAUAGCCCUGGGAAACUGGGAUUAAUACCGCAUAUUAUUCUGAAUAAUAAAGGUUUGGAAUGAAAGCUGAGGCGGUUAGAGAUGGGUGUGCGUCUGAUUAGCUAGUUGGUAGGGUAACGGCCUACCAAGGCGAUGAUCAGUAGGGGGCGUGAGAGCGUGGCCCCCCACACUGGUACGGAGACACGGACCCGACUCCUACAGGACGCAGCAGUAAGGAAUAUUGGUCAAUGGGCGAAAGCCUGAACCAGCCAUCCAGCGUGCAGGAAGAAGGCCCUAUGGGUUGUAAACUGCUUUUAUCAGGGAAGAAACCUCUGGAUUUACUCCGGAGCUGACGGUACCUGAAGAAUAAGCACCGGCUAACUCCGUGCCAGCCGCCGCAGUAAAAC